GGAAGGGGUUACAUAUGAAAAUUUUCCGCUAAAAUAAAAAACUUUGUUUUGCUGACCCAUCCCUCAAGUUUAUUUUCUUCCUUUCACAAGCUUAAGUAAACAUUCCGUAAAGGUAUAUUUGAAGCGGUACAACCCGCGGGCGGUGGCCUACAUAUUUAUGGAAGCGAGUGUACAUCGUGCCUAUACCAUGGUUAUGUGAAUCCAUUAGCAGAGGCAUCGAAAAAAGGUAGAAUUUAUUGCAAUAAAAUCUUUCGUUAAUUAAGGGGCACAAUCGCUAUUGCAAAGAAAUCUGUCAAAAGCAUUGACCAUUGUGUUAAGCCUUUUCAAUACAUGAUCUGAAUGGCAAAUGGAGGUGAAGGGUUGAUCUGGGACUUGACAUGUUACUUUUUGAUAGCCAUGUGAUACUCUUGUGCUGUGGUUAUACUGUGAAUGUUGGUUCUAAAAAAUGUACACUGCAGUGACAUUUGAGGUAACACUCCUGUUAUUUAUUUGUUUGAACCAAGUUUGGAUGUGACAAUGCCCACCAAUGAAGCAAACACUCUGAAUUCUCUUGUAUGGAGUUCCUUCAGCCAUCUUCCAUCUCAUUGCACCAUGCAUUGGAUGAAGUGCCCAGUACUCAAGGAAUCAAAAGUGUUUUGUUUGUCUGCUUUGGAAAUAGUUAAUGUGCUUCAGGAGUUGCAUUGACUAAGGAAGCAAAACAAAUUUUUCUUCUACCGAUUGGUCAAGUGUUUGAUGACCAUUCUGAUCUUCUGAUUCCUCAUUCUACAGGCCUUGCAGUUGCAGUAGUUUGUAGUUACAAGGAAUUAGCUCAAGAGUUGUCUUUCAGACUGAUGGUCUCCAGGUUGAUAUAAAAAAUGUUCACCAGCUUGUUGGAUUCUCAUGGCUUUCCUGCAUAUCCACUGUGCAAAACUGCACCAUCCAAAGUAUGAAUAGGGCUAUAAGUAAAUGUGGAAGCACUUUUAACUUCUUCUUUGUCCAUGGUUACUUAUAGCCUUUGUUUUAUGCCAGAUAUUGCAAUCUACUGUGUCUCACCAACACAAGAAGAAAUGCACAAUUCUCAGCUGAGUUUCUCUGUUAGGAAGAGAUUUAAAAGAUACAUUAUAGAUUGAGAGAUAUAUCAUCAUCAUUGUAUAGCAUGAGGGAAAAUGUGGGAACGCGACAGUGGACCUCCCAACAGUGGCCCCCGAGGGUACCCCGACACCAGCCCCCCCUAAAAUUAGUUCCCUGUUAAUUUUUUUAGCAAACAUUGAUUUACUUUAAUUUAGUAUUCGUUUGUUACAUUACACGUACGUCGUUAUGUUACAAACAAAUUGCUAAAAAUUGGUUUCGUAUGCCUACACGACACAGGCCCCCCCCCCCCCGCUUCUAUUGCCGGGGGGCUGUUGUCGGGGUACCCUCGGGGGCCACUGUUGGGGGGUCCAAUGACCGCAUGGUGGAAAAUGUGCUAGAUGGAAGACUUAGGUUUAAUAUUUAUUUCAAAUGCUUUGCAAUUUCUAGUUCAACAACCAGUAAUAGUAUGUGUUAUUCAAUCACCUUGUUUUGGAUCUAAAUACGUUGAUUCUGCAGGGUUUCUUGAAUGUAAGCUGUUGUUAAUGAACAGACAGUCAGAAGUCAAACAGAACCAUAGGCAUCGCACUGUACUAUACCUGGAAUUCACGACAGCAGGGGUUUAUUACUUUUUGAGAAUUAAACAAAAGGUAUCUUCAAUUUCAGAGCAAAGUUGAUGGAAGACUUAUGGUGUAUUGUCCAGCAUCCCCGCAAAAAACAUUAGUGAUUGUUAUGGGCCAACGGAAGGGGGAAAAUGCUGGUUAGUUAUUAUGUUGUGAAGAAAGGGAAUCCUUGUUGAUACCGGUGACUAAUUCUUCAUAUGUAUUUCACUGUUUUUGUUGUGGUACACUGAAUGGAAUAUUUAGAUGGUCUUCUUUCCAUGGCCCAUUUUCUUGUAAGUCAAAGUCAAAGUUAUCUACCAUAAUUUCGAAAACUAUCUCCCAUAUCAUUGAGUUUUUUCUGUGUGGUAACAAAUAAUGAUUGAAAUUUCUGUUAUUUUCCAUAACUUUCUGGGGUCCAAAGGAUAGUUCAACAAAAACCUUAAAGUAUGUUCUUUACUAUUUAACAAUUCAAUUCGAAUCAAUUCAAUCGAAGAAGUUGCUCUUUUACCUAUCGCUCCGCUAUGGUCAAUCCUCUUUUUCGUUAUGUUGCUUACACUUGGGCUCGGAACGCAAUUUACCGUUUUGGAAACGGUUGUUACAACAAUCGUUGACUUAUGGCCACAAAAGCUACGCGGAAAGAAUCAUAAGUUGCUGGCCGAUUCAACCGUCAUGUUUCUACUUGGGCUUAUAAUAUGCACAAAUGGAGGCAUGUACAGUAUGUCUUACAGUUGAUCGAUACAUAUGCAGCUACGUUUUCCGCCCUGAUCAUCGGAAUUGCUGAAGUGUGCGUCAUCGCAUGGAUUGCCGGAGAAAUAGGACCCAAAAUAGGCCAUGGAGAAAUAGGACCUCUUUUUCUGACUUUCUUUUUAGGGUCCUAUUUCUCCGCUAGAUGGGUCCUAUGUCUCCCUCCUGUCAUUAAUGGCUGCCUAUGUUUCACAGCGUUGCUAAACUAAUUGUUUUAAAUAUAAUUAACUGAAUUACCCUAACCUAACCUACGAAACCUUUAUAUUUUAUUCUAUUAUUUAUUUCUUAUAUUUAUUAUCUAUCUAUUUUAUAUUAUUCGAUGGCAUCGAUUCCUUGAUGACAUCAAACAAAUGCUUGGGCAUGACGCACCACCACGCUGAAAUUGGUAAUUCGUUUGGAAAUUUUUCACGGCAAUUCAUCAUCGUCGUUAGUUAUUUGGUUUUUAAAAAGUGAACUUCCGAACCAGUUCCGACCACUUACGUACGGCGAUUACACUUAACCUUUGGAGGCGACUGUCAUAGGAUUUCUGAUUGCGUCGUCUUCUGUGGCCAUGGUUCCAAUCAUGGCUAUCUACAAGGUUUUCCAAUUGGAUGGGCCCAUUCUAGAGCGUAUUCGAGUUCUUCUGCAACCAAGCAGUGAUUGGGGCCAGGCUUUAGAAAAUUCAUCAUAUCGACUAUCGAGGCUGGAGCUACGACUCACACCGAUUCACAAUUGCCACUGGCUUUACAUAAGUACAGAUUCGAAGAGUUGGAAUUGGAGUUGACUACUGUUUUGGAACGCGAAUCGGAAAGCGACAAUUGGAUUUAUAUGAAAUGUACGGCGCCCAAUUGAAGCGACCAUCCAUCUGGGACUGUUGAUCCCAACUCAGUUUACGAAGCGGAUGCCUCGCUAUACGAUCCAGUAAUCGUUACUUGCGGUCUUCCAGUGACGGGAAUUUGUUAUGCGUGCAAUUACUCAACAAGGAAUUAGGUUGUUAAAGCAAGUUUGACUUUUUACGAUGCUUCCACUUACGGGCGUGGUCGCCAAAAUUUGUCGUUGUGUCGGACUGCUAAUCCGGAAGGAAAAAAUCGAAUUAAAGUCGAUACGUUUGUCAAAGUGGCAGAUAGAACGGAUAAACGAUUUAAAUCACACUUGGGAUAAUCUACUUCUCGGACAAGGUACUUUGAGGCCGGAUUUAUUUGAGUCCACUUCGCACAUGGCUUCUUCACGCGGUUUGUCAAUUCGAAUCAUUAGCGCCAAAAAACCGUUCAUGGAAGCUGAUUUCGGUGAGACGCAAGUGCUGAUUUGGCUGAUGGUCGAUUAUGCCAACAUGGCAGCCAAGGAACAUGCCUUGCUCAAUCGGAUUGAUAUCGCGACGUUGGAAGAAGAGCGUUUUCUUCUGGAAGAACUGUCCAUUCGCGAGCAGUAUGUUGCUACGCUACUGUCUAUUCGCGCUGUCGGUGUUCAGGGAGAUUGCCGAACUUACAGCUAUUGCGUACCACUGAGCUCUUAUCAGACACAACCUAACUGGAAUGAUCUAGCUACCUACGCCCGCUUAAUACCGCGUGCGUGUCAUAAUGUCAAUCGUGUUUGCUACAUAUUCGGAAAGGCUGUGCGUGAAUCGGUGACAGACGUUACACCUACCUACUUAACGAAUAACAUUUUGGCGAUCUUCAGGGAAGCGGAUUAUUUGGCAAAUAAAAUAUUACGGGAUUCGGGUUGCCAUGAGAAGCUAGCGCAGAUGCCAAUCGUCUGGAUCCCUUUCACUUUUAUCACGAUUCGAGUCAACGCAUUCCAUCAUGCCAGUGAUCAGUCAUUUUUCGAUCAUUCUUUUCACAGGAUUUUAUGACUGGACUUCCUGCAAUUCCUGAUACCCACUUGCCCCAAGAGUUACGUAAAAAAUGGGUACAUUUUUUUAGCAGAUCUUGCUGUAAACAUGGAUACCGCUAAUUAGGUUGUAGACAAGAUGGUUGAAGCCGUCUUAACAGUUCCAGGAAUUUUCAGGGUCUUGUAUGAUCUGACGGUGAAACCACCCUGGACAACGGAGUGGGAAUGAUUUGAUUUGCGAACGUUGCUUAGGCAAAUGAUCUCCGCCACUCUUUACAGGACACGGAUGCGGAAUUCUAUAACUGGCCAGAUUUAGAUGGGAUACAUUAUAAUAGUGGAUUCAGUAUAGACUUUUAAAAUUGAAAAUUUAUCAUCUUUGUCGUCUCGUGAAAAUUUCUUUAACUCGCUUCUUAGGAAAAAAUCACGUGAUGACUUGUUGAGUAUUCCUUAAAAUACAUGCACACUUGUCGGAAAUAAUGGGUGCAUUUGGUUUUCGUGGAACAAGUUAAACAUUGUUAAUGUGCAGCUAGGUGGGUUGUUGUUGCUCUCCGAAGGCUAUUCGAGGCGUUAUGCCAUUUCCUGAGAUUAAACAUUCGGGAAAUGCUGUAAAUAUUCGCAAAUUGUUAAGAUCUAUUCAGAAUGGUACCAUAAAGUAUGACUGUAGGAAAGGGUACGUCGGCUUCUAAAAGUGAAGAACAGCUCUGACGUCUUUGGUAAGCGGAAAAGGUACUGCUGAUUCAAGCGUCAGAAGACGGUUUUAAGAAUGGACUCUUUCCUUUGCCCAAUGAAUCUGUGCUUGGAAUUGGCAGGUGGCGUUUAGCAGUGGCACUCAAUCUUUAUUCUUAAAACCCAGAGGUGUUCUUCACUUUUCAGGGGGAUUUAAUGAUGAUACUUGUUGGGUUAUCCAUGAAGAAUACCAAUACAUGGAUAAAUGGAGGGUAAUAAACGUAAAAACUGUAAUUCCUCGUGGCAUUUUCAUUCACGCAUACGCGGCAGUUCGUGAGCAGACGAACCAUUGAAAGGGCUUUGCGCAGUCUAGCUGCAUCCAGCCAGAUACUAGUAGAACCCAAAACAUUGUGUUGACAAGUACUGUCAUAUUUCGGUUGCAGGUUUUCACUAAAUAGCAAGCUGAUCCUACGAGCUACGGCAGUUUUACCUACAAAUGUUUAGCGUUUCGUGCUGCAACUAGUAGUGAUAUUCUGGAUGUUAUGCCUAAAAUUGGAAUUCAGCUAUCAGAGGUUAGCAAAAUUGAGGUGGAAACUCUAGAUGGCGUUGAUGUACGUCUAUGAUGAAGAUUAUGAGUGACAAGUUAAUUGGGUGUUUGUCACUUUAUCCUGUUUUGUGUUUCAAAGGAUUUUUCGUCAAAAAAUUUACGCUAUGCCAGCUGCGAACCAGCAGCCUGUAUUCCUGCUAUCAAUGUACCACAAGAGAUCCUGACACUUUAAGAAGGCCACUAUUGCUUACAUGAAGAUCACCAUCCAGUUCAAUCAACGACAGAGUCUUCAUCUACUUUGUGUUGCUAAACAUCAGCCCUCAACAUCCCAAGUAUCCAGAUUUCCAAGUUUCUCUGAUUAGCCAACCAUCAUCCAUACCCUUCAGCUCUUCAGUGUGACUUAUCUUACUCUCUUCCUAGUCUGCGGAAUGCCAACAUUGAAUAAGGUUCCUCAUCAUUGCCUUUCCAUGAAAAUCUUCAUUGUUAAUCCUGCUGUUCUCCUUACCAUUACUUAGCCAGCUCACAUGGAUGGGAUUUAACUAAGAAAAACUUCUGUGUUAGGACUGCAAAUAUUCAUCUUCCUCUGGUACAACACUGCCGUUUUGACAAUUUUGGUAGUUUCUCUCCCAGUGAACCAUACGCAACUACAUUUUCUUCAUCUUCCUGUCGUUGUUGUCUACGACUUCACCUCAUCGCUGUCUUCGUUGACGUCUUCGCCUUCAUCUCCGUCUCGUCGUCUUCGCCUUCAUCUCCGUCUCGUCGUCUUCGCCUUCAUCUCCGUCUCGUCGUCUUCGCCUUCAUCUCCGUCUCGUCGU